ACAGUCGCCAGAUCCAGUUCCAAGUGCCGAACCGAACGCGGAGCCAGGAGAUGCAGUCUCACUCUGUGGCCCAGGCUGGAGUGCAGUGGCGUGAUCUUGGCUCACUGCAACCUCCAUCUCCUGAGUUCAAGCAAUUCUCCUGUCUCAGCCUCCUAAAUAGUUGGAAUUACAGGCAAGCACCACCACGCUCAGCUACAGGAAUUUAGCCAAUUCAGAGGAAAUCUUCCCCAUAAUUAUGGAACUUUCUUACAGAUUUUACCAAGUCUGGUCAACCCAAUAAGAAAAAGACUGAAAUAACAACAACAACUUCAACAAAUAAAAAAAAACAGUUAAGCUAAAUAAACAGAUGAUUGCAGAAUUUAUGUGAUUACUGGGUACUCUAAUGGUAAGGAGAAAUUAAGACCAGCUAGUUGUUAAUCUUAACUUUUAGUCAUUAAGGAGAAUUUCCAAGACAAAACUGCAAUCCAGCUGCUUACCUAGGAAUACGGCUUAGGCUGAAAACUUCUAUCGUCUUAGAAAUGGGAAUAAACCUCACACUCACCGUCCCUGUUGGAAGCAAGCUGAAACUCCAAAAAAAAAGUUGCCUGUUGUCCAUCAUCAUGGUGAAGCGGCGUCGUUGUCUGGGGUAAGUACCUGGGGUUCAUUGUCUCGUACCAAGAUUAAGGACAGAGUUCCCUCCAUUGUUCAUUGAUUUGUAAACCAAAAUGUAUCUGUGACAGGUAUUAAUCAAUUGAGAAGAGUUUUUUAUUUUUAUUUAUUUAUUUAUUUUUUGCCAAGGUUCAGGACAGAUCCAGGUGUCUUUCUCCAAAGAUGAUUAUGAUGGUGUUAAUAUUUAAAGGGGAAAGUGGCCUAGAGGGGAACAAGGGAGGGUAUGAUCAUAUUACUGUAUCCACAUGUUGCAGGAGAAAUGGAGCAGGUACAGGAAUAGUCAAUUAUGUGUUCUUCUCAUGCUCAGUAAAUCAGAACUUUACAUAAGUUCAGGUGAACAUAGAGUAGCUACCUGGGGAGAUAUUUCACCUUUUUAUCUGUAGUGCUCUGCUUAAGAACAAAGGAAAAAACAGCUUCUUGCAUGAUUCAGCUUUUAGCUUAAUUUUUUUCCUUUAGGCAUAGUGAAUUGGGGUCCCAGGUUUUUAUUUUUCUUUCACAAAUUAAAACUGAUAUUUAGACUAUUUCUCGGUCCACUAAAUUUCUCUCAUCCUAAACUCCUGCUAACCACAUGUACUCUCUCUGUUCAUUUCCCUAUUUAUUUAUAUCAGCACUUCCUUCUUCUUGCCAACUUCGGUGCCACAUAAGGGAAAAACAACAGAAAUCUAACACCCUGGGAUACCUUCAGAGAAAACAGAAAAGACACUGCAGACUUCUUUUUGGGAGAAACUCCUGUGUUUUUUUUUUGUUUGUUUGUUUGGUUGGUUGGGUUUUUUUGUGUUUUUUUUUGUGUUUUUUUCUAUCAGGGAGUCCUAAGAACUGUAAACGAACAUGUUAGCACUAGAGAACAUAUCCUAGUCAUGUGGCACCAAAGUAUGUUACUGGUGGCAAAUGCAUACACGUCUGCAGCAACCUCAAUUCCUGCCUGCUCAGAAGAAAGAAUUCAGCUGAGGGGCAUAAGGCACAGUGAGAGACUGAGGCAAGUUUUAGAGCAGGAGUGAAAAUGUACUAAACAGUAUUAGAGCAGGAAUGAAAGGAAGUAAAGUACACUUGGAAGAGGGCCAAGUGGGCAACUUGAGAGGUUAAACUGCAUGGUUUGAGUUUUGAUUUGAGGUUUUACGUGUUGGCAUGCAUUCAGGGGCUUGUGUCCCUUCUCCCCUGAUUCUUCCCUCCGGGUAGGAGGGAAGAAUCCACCUGAGCAGUGGCCUGCCAGCACUUGAGAGGCUCCGCAAGCACAAGUGUGUUUAUGGGAGUUGUGCACAUGCUCAGUUGAGGCAUUCUUCCCUUACCAGUCGAGUGUUUCUAGAGGAAGGUCAUAGACUAAUAGUCUAAUAGUCUAUGACCUUUAGUCAUACUAGUGCACAUGCCUGAGCCCACUCACCUGUGAACCCCCAAAAUUUGAGACAGGUCUCAAUUAAUUUAGAAAGUUUAUUUUGCCAAGGUUGAAGACAUGCCCAGUGACAUAGCCUCAAGAAGUCCUGAUGACAUGUGCCCAAGGUGGUCCGGCCACAGCUUGGUUUUAUACAUUUUAGGGAGACAUGAGACAUCAAUCACUAUGUAAGAAGUACAUUAGUUCCGUCCGGAAAGGCGGAGACAGCUCAAAGCAAGACCCCCUAUUGGGGGCUUCGAAGUAACAGGUAGGUGAGAGACAGAUGGUUGCAUUCUUUUGAGUUUCUGAUAAGUCUUUCCAAAGGAGGCAAUCAGAAUAUGCAUCUGUCUCUGUGAGCAAAUGGAUGACUUGAAUAGAAUAGAAGGCAGAUUUGCCCUGAGCAGUUCCCAUCUUGAAGGGACCCAAGAUAUUUUUCUUUCACAUUUUCCCCUUUUCUUUUUUAACAUCUUUGGAGAAAGCAUUUUUACAACAGAAUGAGUCUCCAGUCUCAGGAAAGGUCAUCUGACCUUUCCUGGCUAGGACGGUUUAUUCCUAGAUUGGUAGGUCUGGAAAGUUCAUUUUUAGCAGGUUGUGAAGUCUCAUGUCCUGUGAAGAGAAAAUAUGGGGGAGGAAGGGAUGAAAAAAACAACAAACAAAAGAACAAUCCUGAAAAAAUUGAUAUAGGCCACAUUACUCUGCAGUCCAUAAUAGUAGGCAGGUAUGAAAGUGGCUUAUGUACGUAAAUAGGUUAUGUUAUAUUUUUCUGAAGUUUAAGUUGUCUGGCUUCAGUUCCCAGGGUUUUUAGAAAGCAUAGCUUAGUUUUCAGUGACUCCAAAUUGGGAAAAAUUGAGAAAAAAAAAAGAAGGAAAAAAAUUGAAAACAUUAUUUUGAAGGCUUGUAGCCAAGAAAAAUUAGAAUUCAGUCCAAACUCUAGAAAAAUAAUAAAAAUUGAAAAAAAAUAGGCAAGACUAGACUCUAACAACAGGUGUACAAUUGUUUUAGAAGAUAAUUUGUUUUUCUCUCUUCAGUUUCGCAUAUUACUAAAGACAAAUCAUGGUAGGAUUGGUUUGUUUAUUAUACUUGGCCUAACUAUUUGUAUACAAUGCAGCAAGAAUGAUUAUUUUUUACUUAGGCUUUUAAGUAGGCUCUGAUGGAACUUUGUUCCAUAGCAGGAAUCUCAGAUAAGACUUUGUAAAACCCGUAAAACCCAGCCGAGCCAUGGAUUUAUGCCAUUAAAUACCCAUGAGUUGGGUGAAAUUUCCUCUCCUUUUGAGGGCCCAAGAUAAACCUGGGGCGUCUGCACUUGUCAAAAAGUGAUAUUCUUUACUUACACAGUCAGAAACCCUGUUCAGGGACUGUGUAUACAGAAUAUGAGGCCAGUUUUUCCAAGGGCUUUAUUGGCUCCGUAAGUCAAGUUUGAUUCCUUAUAAGGAAAGCACAUGAUUCCAGUCAAAGCCUUGGUAAAAUAACCAAAUUCUCCAAAUGUGUCCUGUUACAAAUGAAAACAGAUUCUUACUGCACUUAUGCAAAUAACUGUAUUGCCAUAAGUUAAGAAUACUCACAAAUAGUUUCCAAAUUCUGGAUAAAUCAGAUAGAAACAACUAUGCCACAAAUUUUGUUCAUAGGAGUAUACUAAAUUGUUAAAAUCUGUCAGUAGCUCAAAAGAAAAGUCAUAAGACUCGGAAACGCAAAACAAAGGACCAGCAAAUAUUUUGAGCAAAAAGUAAAAAAGAUUGGUUCAGUCCAUGCAGUUAAUUCCUGUUAAUUCCUGCUUGAUACUCAUGAACAUUUAGCUCUCCAUGAGUCCUGAAGGUUCUUCCUCUAUUCUGUUGUCACAAUCUCCAAAGUUAUCAGAAACCUGCAUUCAAGAGCACCUAUUGGAGUUUUAUAGCUGAUUAUAAAACCACCUCCUAAAGAGGACCAAAACAAGACAACAAUUGUCCAUGGAUGAAAAAAAGUUGUUUUUGAGACGGAGGCUCCCUGAGUCGCCCAGGCUGGAGUGCAGUGGUGUGAUCUCUGCUCACUGCAAGCUCUGCCUCCCAGGUUCACCCCAUUCUCCUGCCUCAGCCUCCUGAGUAGCUGGGACUACAGGCACCCGCCACCAUGCCAAGCUAAUUUUUUUCUAUUUUUAGUAGAGAUGAGGUUUUCACCGUGUUAGUCAGGAUGGUCUUGAUCUCCUGACCUCGUGAUCGCCUGUCUCAGCCUCCCAAAGUACAGGGAUUACAGGCGUAAGCCACCAGCCCGGCUGAAAAAAAAAGUUUUAAGGCAGCCAUAGUCGAAAGGCACAAUUGACAAGGAAAUUUGUUGCCUCUGUGGCACACAAUAAUUUUAACAUAACAAUUAUGAUGCCGGGUAUUUGGUGCCUGGCACAAGACUUUUUUUCUUAUAUAAAAUUAUUUUUCUUCAAGCUUUUUUUACCUCAGAAAAAUACCUCUUUAUUUUUACAACUUUCUUUACAUAUUUUUUAUUUCCUGGUUCCAUUUACCUUGUUUUAUACAUAAUGUUUAAAUAAGCUUUGAAUUAGACAUAAAUUUUUCACUUUUCUUUUUAAAAGGACACACUUCUCUGUUUUUGUUUUUUUUUUUUAGCAAGAAUGUUUUCCUGCAAUAUAUAUUUAUUGGAAAAUACCCAAGUAAUGAAACAUCUAUUAUUUAAUUUAAUAUAACUUUAUAUUCUAAAUUAUGACCAGUUUGUCUACAAGUAUUUUUCCCAUUACAUUUGCCUAAUUAUCUAUUUUAAUUAUUUACCUAGAUUAUUUAUGAAUACUGUAAUAGUCAUGAAUUUAAAGUUAUGAAACUGCUAUUGAAAAAUUAUAACCAGCCAGGCAUAGUGGCUCACGCCUGUAAUCCCAGCACUUUGGGAGGCUGAGGCAGGUGGAUCACGAGAUCAGGAGAUCGAGACCAUCCUGGCUAACAUGGUCAAACCCUGUUUCUACUAAAAAUACAAAAAAUUAGCCAGGCGUGGUGGCGGGGUGUCUGUAGUCCCAGCUACUUGGGAGGCUGAGGCAGGAGAAUGGCAUGAACCCGGGAGGCAGAGCUUGCAGUGAGCCAAGAUCGCACCACUGCAUUGCAGCCUGGGCGACUGAGCGAGACUCUGUCUCAAAAAAAAAAAAAAAAAAAAAAAAAAAAAAAAGAAAGAAAAAUUAUAACUGAGACAGUGAAAAAAGAUUUGAUCUAGGCCGGGCACGGUGGCUCAUGCCUGUAAUCCCAGCACUUUGGGAGGCUGAGGUGGGUGGAUCACCUGAGGUUGGGAGUUUGAGACCAGCCUGACCAACAUGGAGAAACCCCGUCUCUAUUUAAAAAAAAAAAGAAAAAAAAUGCAAAAUUAGCCUGGCAUGGUGGUGCAUGCUGUAAUCCCAGUUACUUGGGAUGUAGCAGGACAAGCUGCAGGCAAAACCUCUCAGACACCGAGUUGUAGAAGGAAGGGCUUUAUUCAGCUGGGAGCAUCAUCAAGCUACUGCCUCAAAAUCUGAGCUCCCCGAGUACACAAUUUCUGUCCCUUUUAAGGGCUCACAACGCUAAAGAUUUCACAUGAAAGGGUCGUGAUUGAUUUGAGCAAGCAGGGGGUACGUGACAGGGGCUCCAUGUACUGGUGGUCAGAGAAACAGAACAGGGCAGGGAGUUGCACAAUGUUCUUUUAUACAAUGUUGGGAAUCUAUGAGUAACAUCGGUUUCUAAGUUAUGAGUUGAUUUUUAACUACUGGGUUUAGGCCAGGCAGGCCCAGGCCUGGUUUUGGGCCUGGCAUCAGGCUGCCUGUCUUUGAUUUCAUGUCCUUGUUUUUUUUCUUUAAACAGGUACUGAGUAUAAAACAAUAUGAGAGGGUCUCUCUCUUCCCUCAUUUCCCCCUUUGAGACUCUCACUUUUUAUUAGUGGGAGUUCUCACUCUUAUUUUUGCUACUUAUGUCUUUUUGUGCAAUAAAUUGAUAGUUAUUCAUAUAGUACACUUGUGCUGAAGCAUUUUGGUGAACUAAGGUAGUGAUGAAGCUUUUUAUCAUUUGAAGAAGUACAGGUAGUAAACAAGGGAGCAGUAAGCAGGUUCUUAUUACUAUUAUAACUUUUAUUAUAAGAGUUUUAAAUUCUCCUAGUGCUGGGAACUAAUUUUUAAACAUGGCUUCAGGGCCAAAUUCGUGCCACACUUGUACAGGCACAUGUGUCAGUUUUGUCAUAUUUUUAACUAUGUCUUUAACUACUUGCCUUUGAUUAUCUAUGUAUAGACAGUAAUUAGUAAGGUUAAAUGUCUUAUAGACCUCUCUUUCAGCUGCUAGCAAGUAGCUGAGAGCCAAUCUAUUUUGAUAGAUAGCAUUUUUUAUCUGAGUUUCUUGCCGGGCCAGAAUAGUCAAGGCUUGACCAGUUUUAUUAGUGAUGAUUUCUGAAACAGCUUGUAACCAUAUGAUUUGGUUGAGCAUGUAGAUGGGGGUCCGAUAUCCCCACGAGCCAUCUUGUGCCCAAGUGGGGGGUCCGUAGUAUUAUAUAAUUUUUUAGGAGGUCAUUCAUCAUCUUUUUAAUUACCUAUGGCUAUGCUUCAUUUUUCAUGAGAAGCAUAGAUAGGGAAGCCCAGGAGUUCACCUGUUUUUAUGGGCAGUAAAAAGAAAGAUGGUUUAAUGGUGCCAAUUACACAGCUACCUGUCCACCGAUCAGGCAGCUUAGCAUAAGCUCUGUGUCCACAUAUCCAGUAUAACCCGGUGGGGGCAGCCCAGUCCCGGUGAAAUUCUGGGUGAGCCCAGACAGUCUGCAACCUUGGAAAUUUACUGAAUGGAUCUCUUUCUGUGUAAUUGGAGCUCCACCAUGUAACUGUUUUGUGUGUGUGUGGUACUAUUAUAGUUUUUGUCCUAGGCAACUAAGUCAUCCUACAGAAUGAGUGAAUUCUUUUUUUUUUUCUAGCUAUGCAAUAUUGUCCAAUAAUUGAAACUUUUAGAACCUAGAAAUGAUCAGGGUGAUUCUUUUGGGCUGAGAAUUCAUCAGGAACUGGGUCUGUAGGCACUAAUUCUCAGGCUUCUUAUGGCCAUUGAUCUCUUAUUACAGUUGUUUUACAAACAUAAUAUGAAGUGACAUUUAGAGACUGGGCUACGUGCUCGGCUAAUUGCAAAAACAAAUUUUUGAUUUUUCCUGGAGUCUCUGGUACUGGCACAUUUAGUUCAUCAUAGAAAGUCUGAAAUACUGGUUCUGGAGAGUGUCUUUGAACCUCUCCUUUUAUUAGGAUGUUCACGCUAGGAUCUAGUCCCUUUCCAUCAAUGCCUAAAGAUACAUAUUUUCCUUUAUUACAUUCUGGUUCUGAGGGGUUUGUGAUUAUCAUUUCUAAAAGGUUGCAGCUCCCACUUGUGCAGGAGGGGCUGACUUUUCCUUUUUGGAGCCAAACAGGAUCUUUUUUAUCUUCUGUUCAAGUAGCCCAGAUGACACAAGACCAGUAUUGACACAUCUCACAUAUGAUUCUGGACAGAUAUACCUAUUUUUUUUUUUACCGUGUAACUUUUUUUUCCAAUUUAGAGAACCGCAUCCUAUUCCAUGCUGCUUACUAUCAAUAGUGGCACAAGCGUCAAAUUUUAAGGUUACAUUUUUGGGACCCCUUUUUCUUCUGUUCUAGCUAUUACUUUACUUGUGUCACUUAGAGAAUGACCAGUUCUCAGUCCUACUUCAAAGACUGUGAUCAUAGGAGGUUCAAAGGGGUCAUAGCACACAUCGGGCUGGUCACUUCCUGGAUUACAUACUUUGUAUUGGGUGUUAUUAUACAAACAGGUUCCUUUUGGAGUUCCUAGGCAUUCAUAAUAACUAUAAAAUAAUAGGACUGUAGCAAUCUUUUGUCCUACUUCAGUGACUUGAUGUAUAUACUGGAAACAGCCUUCAGUCUGAGGAAGGUCAGUUGAAGUCCUUACUAUACAAGUCCAAAUUUUAAGGAAAAUGAGUCCCGCGAUGAGUUUCCUCAUGUUUUGGCCGUGCGUGGACCAGUCAGCUUCCGGGUGCGACUGGAGCAGGGCUUGUCGUCUUUUUCAGAGUCACUUUGCAGGGGUUGGCGAAACUGCUCCUAUCCACAUACAGCUCGCAGUCUACUGAUGUUUAAGAACCCAAUUGGAGACGUUGGAUAUUUUAUCAAGUCUUUGACUGGAAUGACAUUUUUUCAGAAAUAACCAGACUGCUUUGAGGAAUUAAAAUUGACUUUAAGGGCUGAGAAAAACCCCUUGGAAAAACUGGCAUGGUACCCUCUGCAUGCAAUUCCUUUACAAAGCUCCUGACCUGUGUUCUGAAGGCUGGGAAGUCCAAGAUUAAGGCGUCAACAGGUCUUGUGUCUGCUGAGGGCUGUCUCCCUGAUUUGCAGAUGUCUGCUUUCUUGCUGUGUCCUCACAUGGGAAAAAGAGAGAGAAUUUGCUGGUAUUCCUUUUUAUAAGGACACUAACCCCAUUCAUGAGGGUCCCACCCUCAUGACCUCGCCUAAACCUAUAACCUCCAAGGACUCCAUUUCCAAAUACCAGCAACCACAUGUGUGAGCUUAGAAGAGGAUCCUUCCCCAGGUGAGCCUUGAGAUGACCCUGGCCUGUGACUUGAUGGCAGCUUUUGAGAGACUGAGCCAGAGGCCUCCAGGUAAGCCCUUCUCAGAUUCCUGAACCACAGAAACUGUGAGAUAAUCAAUUUUAUUGAUAUCUUGUGGAUAUUGAUAUCCCCAGUUUUAUUGUGGAAUAGAUAACUGCCACACAGCUCCUGACAACUGGCAUCUUGACACAUGUUCUGUGCUCCAGGUCCCAGUAACUGUGCCCAUCCAUUGUUACCACAGGUCACAGUGGCCCUGGCCCUGGGGCAUUAUACUCUCUCUUGGUGUAUUAGUCCAUUCUUAGGCUGCUAAUAAAGAUAUAUCUGAGACUGGGUAAUGUAUAAAGAAAAAGAGGUUUAAUGGACUCACUGUUACAUAUGGCUGGGGAGACCUCACAAUCAUGGAGGAAGGUGAAGGAGGAUCAAAGGCACAUCUUACAUGGUGGCAAGACAGAGAGCAUGUGCAGGGGAAUUGCCCUUUAUAAAACCAUCAGAUCUCAUGAGACUUAUUCACUAUCAUGAGAACAGCAUGGGAAAAACCCGCCCGCAUGAUUCAAUUACUUCCCACUGAAUCCCUCCCAUGACACAUGGGGAUUAUGGGAGCUGCAAUUCAAGAUGAGAUUUUGGGGGAAGGGCAUAGCCAAACCAUAUCAUUCUUCCCUGGGCCCCUCCCAAAUGUCAUGUCCUCACAUUUCAAAAUACAAUCAUGCCUUCCCAACAGUCCUCCAAUGUCUUAACUCAUUUCAACAUUAACCCAAAAGUCCAAGUCCAAAGUCUCAUCUGAGACAAGGCAAGUCCCUUUCGCCUAUGAGUCUGUAAAAUCAAAAGCAAGUUAGUUAUUUUCUAUAUACAAUGGGGGUACAGGCAUUGAAUAAAUAUUCCCAUUCCAAAUAAGAGAAAUUGGCCAAAACAAAGGGGCUCCAGGCCCCAUGCAAGUCUAAAAUCCAGCAGGGCAGUCAAAUCUUAAAGCUCCAAAAUGAUCUCUUUUGACUCCAUGUCUCACAUCCAGGUCACAUUGAUGCAAGAGGUGGGUUCCCAUGGUCUUGGGUAGCUCCAUCCUUGUGACUUUGCAGGGCACAGCUCCCCUCCCAGCUGCUUUCGCGGGCUGGCAUUGAGUGGCUGUGGCUUUUCCAGGUUCAUGGUGCAAACUGUCAGUGGAUCGACCAUUCUGGGGUCUGGAGGACAGUGGCCCUCUUCUCACAGCUCCACUAGGCAGUGCCCAAUGGAGACUCUGUAUAGGGGCUUCCACCCCACAUUUCCCUUCCACACUGCCCUAGCAGAGGUUCUCCAUGAAGGCUCUGCCCCUGCAGCACACCUCUGUCUGGACAUCCAGGCAUUUCCAUACAUCCUCUGAAAUCUAGGCAGAGGUUUCCAAACUUCAAUUCUUGACUGCUAUGCACCUACAGGCUCAACACACCAUGUGGAAGCUGCCAAAGCUUAGGGCUUGCACCCUCUGAAUCCACGGCCUGGGCUGUACCUUGGCCCUUUUAGCCAUGGCUGGAGCAGCUGGGAUGCAGGGCACCAAGUCUAAAGGCUGCACACAGCAGGCGGGCCCUGGACCCAGCCCAGGAAACCAUUUUCCCUCCCAGGCCUCUGGGCCUGUGAUGGUAGGGGCUGUUGCAAAGGUCUCUGACUUGCCCUGGAAAUAUUUUCCCCAUUGUCUUGGUGAUUAGCAUUUGGCUCCUUGUUACUUAUGCAAAUUUCUGCAGCUGGCUUGAAUUUAUCCUCAGAAAAUGGGUUUUGCUUUUGUGCUGCAUUGUCAGGCUGCAAAUUUUUCAAACUUUUAAGCUCUGCUUCAUCUUGAACACUUUGCCACUUUGAAAUUUCUUCUACCAGAUACUUUAAAUCAUCUCUCUCAAGUUCAAAGUUCCACAGAUCUCUAGGGCAGGGGCAAAAUGUCACCAGUCUCUUUGCAUAGCAAGAGUGACCUUUACUCCAGUUCCCAACAAGUUCCUCAUCUCCAUCUGAGACCACCUCAGCCUGGACUUUAUUGUGCAUAUCACUAUCAACAUUUUGGUCAAAGCCAUUCAACAGUCUCUAGGAAGUUCCAAACUUUCCCACAUUUUCCUUUCUUCUUCUGAGCCCUCCAAACUAUUCCACCCUCUGCCUGUUACCUAGUUCCAAAUUCACUUCCACAUUUUGGGUAUCUUUACAGCGGCACCACACUCUACUGGUACCAGUUUACUAUAUUAGUUCAUUCUCACACUGCAUUAAGACAUACCUCGAGACUGGGUAAUUUAUAAAGAAAAAGAGGUUUAAUGGAAUCACAGUUCCACAUGGCGGGGGAAGCCUCAUAAUCAUGGAGGAAGGUGAAGGAGGAACAAAGGUAUGUCUUACACGGCGGCAGGCAAGAGACCAUGUGUAGGGGAACUGCCCUUUAUAAAACCAUCCAAUCUAGUGAGACAUUCACUAUCAUGAGAACGACAUGGGAAAAACCUGCCCCCAUGAUUCAGAUACCUCCCACUGGGUCCCUCCCAUGACACACAGGGAUUAUGAGAGCUACAAUGCAAGAUAAGAUUUGGGUGAGGACACAGCCGAACCAUAUCACUUGGGAAUUCCCUGCAUCCUACCCAGACCUUUGUAAGCUGGUCUCAGCCUGCCCAAUUUGAAUGUGCUGGUUCUUCCAGAUCCCUGAUGCAUACCAUUGUCUUGGCCAGGCCCAUCACAUAAUGAUUUUGAAUCUUUUGACAGUAUUCACCAUAUAAUAUGGCUACUUGAAGUAAAUGUUUUCUAACCUGUCAUUUAAAGUGAUUUAUGUAUCAUCUAUAUAUCUACAUUGUAAGUUAAAAAAAAUCAACUGGAUUAAUAGGAAAGUAAAUGUCAAAAUAAGUGCAAAGGCAGGUUAGGUCCAAGGUUUUUUAAGUCCAGCAGUUCAGUAAGGCUAAGGCCCUCUUUCUUCUCUGCCAAACUCAAUGUGUGGGCUUGAUCUUCUAGAUCACUCUCUAAAGGUGGCAUGGUCCUUGCAGUUGAUUUAGAUAUAUUUUCAUAUCCUCCAGGCUAGGAAGCAUUGAUAGGCAAAAAAUAAAAUAAUGUACCUUCUUAAGAAUGAAGAUACUGGGGGCCAGGUACAGUGGCUCACGUCUGUAAUCCCAGCACUUUGGGAGGCCAAGGCAGGCGGAUCAUGAGGUCAGGAGAUCAAGACCAUCCUGGCUAACAUGGUAAACCCCAUCUCUACUAAAAACACACACAAAAAAAUUAGCCGGGUGUGGUGGCAGUCACCUGUAGUCCCAGCUACUUGGGAGGCUGAGGCAGGAGAAUGGUGUGAACCCGGGAGGCGGAGCUUGCAGUGAGUGGAGAUUGUGCCACUGCACUCCAGCCUGGGCGAUAGAGCAAGACUCUGUCUCAAAAAAAAAAAAAAAAAAAAAAAAAAAAAGAAUGAAGAUACAUUUUCAGAAGAUUCUUAGUAGAGUAACAUUCAAAUCUGUUUAGCAAGAACCACUUAAUUGCUUGUCUACAUCAAUUAGCUGCAAAGGGAGUGGGGCCCUUAUGAACACAUAAAAGGAAUCCAAACCUGCCUUUUAGAAUCUGUGAAGCAAGCAUGAGUUAAAUAAAGGAGGGUGGAUACCUAAAAAAAAAAUCAAUAUCAUGUCAGAAAGAAAGAAGCAGCUUUGAAUGUCAGGUAGGCAAUAAAUAGUAACUGAUACACUAAAAUCUUUCCAUUUUGUCCUCCGUCCAUCCAUCCAUCCAUCCAUCCAUCCAUUCAUCCAUCUCAUAAUAAACUAAUGCCACAUAAAACUGAAAUCAUGUAUUUGCUAUUUCUUCCCCUUAAAAAUUUUUGAAUGUGACUCAUGUUCACAACACACUGAAUUUAGUGUGCUGGUUUACUUAAUUUUUUUGUUUUUUUCAACAGACUGCUUACUUGUUAAGGUAAGAAGCACCUGUGAGUCUACUACUCAUUGCUUUAACCUGGCCAUAAUUUACAUUUAGCUUUAUAGUCCCCCUACAUUUCAAAACCUUCUCUUCUUCCCACCAAAAGUAACAGUCAUCCCACCACUUUGUUAAUUAACCCAUUUUUAUUUAUGUAUUUUUGUUGCUUCUAUAAUUUUGCCAAUAUAUUUUAUUUCUAACUUUAUAGAAAACAUAUACUAAGCAAUCUUCUUUCCCCACUCAAUAGUAUAUUUCUAAAUAUACUAUUUAGAAAUAUAAUAUAUAUUAUAUUAUAUUUAGAAAUAUAAUAUAUAUUAUAUUAU
rnacentral:lncRNA from 1 species